rnacentral:tRNA from 3 species
GCCGGGGUGGCGGAAUUGGCAGACGCACCAGCUUGAGGGGCUGGCGGGAGCAAUCCCGUCGGGGUUCAAAUCCCCGUCCCGGCACCA